AAUAAGUGCAGUUUUGUAUUAUUCACGUUCAACGUUUGACCGUUCGUCUUAUUUGAAAUUUUUUUUAUGAUUAGUAUUUUUAUUGCUAUUAGAUGAUAAAACAUGAAUAAUACUUUAUGUGUGACUAAAUAUAUUUAAAUUUUUCACAAAUUUUUUAAAUAAGACGGACGGUCAAACGUUGAGCACGGAUAUUCACGGUUGCACUUAUU
rfam:Oryza barthii chromosome 2, whole genome shotgun sequence.